rnacentral:rRNA from 1 species
UCCUACGGGAGGCAGCAGUAGGGAAUCUUCCGCAAUGGACGAAAGUCUGACGGAGCGACGCCGCGUGAGCGAAGAAGGUCUUCGGAUCGUAAAGCUCUGUUGUUAGGGAAGAAGAAGUACCGUUCGAAUAGGGCGGUACGGUGACGGUACCUAACGAGAAAGCCCCGGCUAACUACGUGCCAGCAGCCGCGGUAAUACCA